rnacentral:lncRNA from 1 species
AUGGGGUCACAAAGAGUCGGGCACAACCGAGAAACUGAACAACUGCUGCUCCCGCCCCCAAAACUGGUGAUGGGGCUCCGGAAGGCUCCCCCACUGCUGUGUCUCUCAAGCUUUCGUCUGGUGGACACCACUGGAGGAAAUCUUGCUUGGGCCACCUCACCUGCUCUCCUGGCCUGCAGCCUCCUCCUGCUCCUACUCGGAGGUUUCUGCCACUUAGAGCUGAUCCUGUUCCUCCCCAGCGCCCUCUGGGGUCGUAGGUCUGGCUUCUCCCAUCUAAAAUAUCCCCAUCUCAGAGUUCAGAUGCUCCCUGUAUCCAUCUCCCCCAAAGCCUGCAGGGCCAGGUCCCUUCUACCCAGAAUGCCCUUCUCUGGUCACCAUGGAAACCAUUCUGGUCUCCCCUCAGGGUUCCACCCGCUGGUCUUCUCUGUCUGGCUCAGAGGCUCAGGAAAGGGAGAGGGAGGCCAAGCAACCCAGAGUCUGGAAGUCAUGGCCAUGAACUUUCAGGAAAAUGUGACCCUGGCCAUGGCCGUAUUCACCAUCCUCGCUUCCAUCUACUUCUUCAACAAGGCGCAGCAAUGAGAAGACACAGCACCACCUAACCCAAGAGUCCUGCCUCUGUCCCGACCAUGACUCUGGCCUCUGAGACCAAAUAAAUGUGACUGAGUCAGCACACCCUGCUCCAUUUCACCAGGCCAGCAGGCACACCGCCUCUGGCCAGCUCUGUCUGAGGUCCAGGCUUCUGGGUCAGAGAGAGGAAGCCUGGACUCCUGGGUCUGGGGAAGUUGGGGACUAGCAAGAUAGACUUUUAGAUUUGAGGCUAGGAGUCCAGUCAUCGAGCUGGGUUUUGAAGGAUGAGUAGGAGUCUGUCAGAGUUUAGAUGGGGGAAGGACAUUCCAACCUGUGUGCAAGAGCACAGAGAGGAGAAAUAACAGGGCUGAUUCCCCACCUGGUACCAACACAGACUGCUGUGUACUUCAGAUUUAUUUCUUCUCUCUGAGCCUUGGUUUUCUCCUUGGACUCCAAAAGGCUGUAGCAAGGAUAACCUGACAUGAAAGAUGUGAAUGGAAUUUGCAAGCUACGGAGGGUCUGUAGUGGUCAUCUUCACUGUUUCAUUGUAUCAACACAUCUUUCUCUUAGCAAACUCCUAUUCAGCCUCACUGCAAAUGCCCCUUACUAUAAAAGUAUCCAGACCUCCAAACACAUAGCCAGUUACCCCCUCCCUCACUAGCUGCCUCCUCUCCGCUCCCUGUCUCCAUCCCCAGUAGGUGGAAUGCCCUGGGUGAUACGCUAGCCUUUAGUUGAGCUUUAUUCAUUUUUUUUCAUCAGAUAAACAUUUCAUUUCAAUUCAAGAUUUGAAAAGGAGACUUCUGAGCAGAGUGACUGAACAUCCUGGGUUUCCCAGGGAAGGCCUAGCAAAUUCGAAUUAGGAAUUGAUUUAUAGUCUUACUAUAAUUUUGGCUUGCGGAAUGCAAAGCACUUUGGGCCAGUUAUUCCAGUAUAAUUGGGAACCGAAUCCUCUUUAUUUCUUCCUUUUUAUUUAUUUAGUUUUAGCUGUGCUGGGUCUUCAUUGCUUUGAGGGAUCUUCUUUAGUUGCAGCGAGCAGGGGCCCCUCUCUAGUUGUGGUGCACAGGCUUCUCAUUUCGGGGGCUUCUCUCGUUGCAGAACACAGGCUCUGGGGCUCAUGGGCUUCCGUAGUUGCAGCAUGUGGGCAGCUAAUAGCUGCAGUGCACAGGUUUAGUUGCUCCGCAGCAUGUGGGAAUCUUCCAGGACUGGGAGUCGAACCCACGUCUCCUGCGCUGGCAGGCGGAUCCUUUACCACUGAGCCAUCAGGGAAGCCCCUUUCUUUAAGUCUUGAAAGUGGUCUGAUUCAAAAGGGAGUCUUACUUACAGAGGGGCUGGCUUCCCAGGUGGCACUAGUGGUAAAGAACCCGCCUGCCAGUGCAAGAGGCUUAAGAGGGCAUACAUUCGAUCCCUGGGUGGGGAAGAUCUCCUGGAGGAGGGCAUGACAACCCACUCCUGUAAUCUUGCCUGGAGAAUCCUGUGGCCAGAGGAGCCUGGCAGGCCACAGUCUGUAGGGUCACAAAGAGUCGGACACAACUGAGGAGACUCAGCACACAGCACUUACAGGAGACCUUGUUUGCAAAACUGAGAAUGACCACACGGGGGCGGUGUUGGACCAUGUUCCCAGCCAGAACUUGGUUCCCCUGGUUAAGUUAGUUGAUUUCCGCAAAACCAGAAUUCUGUGACCUGGGUGGGGAAGCCUUCCUCGUCCCUGGACCUUCCCCCUGCCCCCCCAUCCCUCUCCUCCAGUCCUCCUAAGGGUCCUUCUAUAAGCAGAGCUGACCUGUCCUUCCCUGCUCACAGUCCCUCCCCCGGGAUAGCUGUCCCAGCCCAACAGACUGGCAUCGCAGCAAGGUGUAUCUAACCUGACAGCCCUCCAGGCUUUCUUUUUAAAAUCUCGCCCACUUCCCAUGCCCCUCCUGUAGCACACCCUUGCCCAGCUGCUGAGUCGUGUCUGACUCUUUUGUGACUCCGUGGACUGCAGCCUUCCAGGCUCCUCCGUCCAUUACUGGAGUGGGUUGCCAUUUCUUUCUCCAGGGGAUCUUCCCGCACCAAGGAUCGAAUCCAGGUCUCCUCAAGUGUGUCUCCUGCAUUGGGAGGCAAACUCCACAUGUAACUGAGAUGGUUUAGAAAAAAGAAAAACACACCCCAGGGCCAUUGCACAUGCUGUGCUCCCAGCCUGGAGCAUCCACCUCUAUUUUGUGUCAUUUCCACCUGAAAGCCUUCCUAAAACCCCUCCCGAUCAGAAUCAGGCUCCCUACCCCUCACACCUUCCCUGCUCAUCCUUCUCGACAGUGACUGGGAGCCUGAGGGUGGGGCUGCAGAAUAAGAUCUGACUCCUGUUCAACCCCCAGCAUGGGUCUUGGCUAUCAGUGUUUGUGAAGC